ACGCACGGAGCGCGAGCUCACUGGUGGCACAGACCCACCACGCUCACGGGGCAGGUGCUGAGUCCUGUUUAAAGAAAAGGAGGCCUGGAAGGUGUGGGGGGAGAAACAUGACCUUGGACGUCCUGGUGGCAGAGCUGAUGUCCGUCUGUCCUGUCUAACAGUAUAAUCGGGGGUCCGUGCCCUUAACUGCUACACCCCACCAGGCUCCCCCACCAGGUGACAUGACGCGGGGCCCGGGAGAGAAGGGCUGAGUCCUCGUGGUCACGUGUGUGUGAUGUGCACACAACAACAACAGGUAAAUGAGUCACCAGGAAAGGGGGAGGGGCUCACAUUUCUGGGCACAGGCCAGCUCCGGUGGCUUGGGAAGUGCCUGUGUCUCCCGGGGCUGGUGGGGUGGUGGGGGAUGGCACUAGGAGCUCCCGGGGCAGGCAGACAGGGGAGGGGCAGGCCGGCCCCCACCAGCAGUCCCCUCUCACCUCCCUCAGUUAGAGCUGAGCGCCCCCCCCCCGCCCCAUCCCUCUCCAGAGCGUCCAGGGAUUCAUUUAAAAACAGCAGUUGAACCCCCAUGUUUUCUGAUUCCAUCAGAAAUGCUGGUUCGCUGUGGAGAGUUUGGAAGGUGCUGGCAUGUAGAAGUUAGAACAUAAAAUUACUCAUAAUCCCCCUGAGAGAAGGGCUGGAAAGAGUGUGGGCUGUUCCUUUCCAGCUUCCCCCUCUCUGGAAAUCUGUUUCCCUGUUGUGUCUACAGUCCUUUAUUCCACCAAUGUUUACUGAGCACCUACAAUGUCCCAGGCACUGUCCCUGCCCCGCUACCAUGUGAAACAGAGGCCCUGGGAAGAUGCCCUUGGAACCCUGCUCACCCGUGGUGCCUGGCCCUGCGUGCCUCUCCAUGUCCGCGGGGCCCCGCCUUGCCCUGUCUGGGCUCUGCCCUCUCCCUGAUGGGCUCCAGUGAUGUCCUGGCUUUGGAUCUUGGUCCUCCUGGCCUUGGUGAGUCAGCCUCCCAGACCCACGGUUUCUCCUCUGCCCAGUGCUGAUUGCACCUGACCUCUUGCGGGAUCCUGCCUUCCAAGCAGCCACAGAGGAUACUGCCUCUAGGACUUCUUCCCUUGGACACUCCCCACCUCCACAUCAGCAUUUCCUGAACCCAACGCCCUGCAGCCCCCACACCUGCUCCUCCCCCGCCGUGUCCCCUACAUCUGGGGACCACCCACACAGUUCAUCAAGCUGGAAGCACCGAACACCCUACCCCAGCUCCUCCAAAGACGUCACUGAAGGUUUUCGGACCCCACCUCCUCCAGGGCGCUGGAGUCUGUCCGCUUGGCUUCAUCCACCUUGGUCCCCAGUGGAGCCCAGGAAGCUUCCUCUCCCUGGUCCACACCCCAGAGCACCUUCUUCGAAGUCUCCUCCCCAGGGUCCCUCUCAGUCCACAGUGUAGACGCAGUGAGUUUUUAAGCCAUGCACUUCUGAUCUUGUCACCCUGCCUGAAACUCUUCAAUGUCGACGCUCCCACGGCUCUUAAGAAUGUGGUCAAGGGGUGCCUUAGUCGGGCCUCAGUCUGAUAAGCGUCUGACUUCGGCUCAGGUCACAAUCUCCCGGUUCGUGGGUUCGAGCCCUGCACCGGACUCUGCGCUGACAGCUCAGAGCCUGGAGCCCGCUUCCAAUUCUGUGUUUCCCAGUCUCUCUGCCCCCCCCCCCCCCACUCUC